GGGUAUAUUAGUAAAUGUAGAAUAUAAAAGUGUAUCAAAAUACAAAUCAUGCAUGUAGGUAAUGAUAUAGUGAUUUAAUGACAAGACCUAGAAAUGUAAGACUACAUAUGAGAGGUUGGUCGAGUAACUUUUUAUAAAAAAAUGUGGAACAUGCUAUACCAAAAUUGUUGAAUUAAGAUUUAAAAUUGUUAAUCUCAAUAAUAUGAAUUCUGGGGUGUAUAAAAAUAUAGGACCACCGUAAUAGAUGGCUCUCAUUUUUCCUAAUUAUUGAAUAAAAAUCCUAAAAAUACAAAUUAGACAAUCAAGAUAAUGAUUUAAUUACAAUGUCCAGAAAAAAAAAA
rnacentral:lncRNA from 1 species